AUAAUCAUUAGUCUUUUAAUUAAGGUCUAGUAUGAAUGAUUGAACGAAGUAUUAACUGUCUCAUUUUAAUUAAUAUUAAAAUUUAAUUUUUAAGUUAAAAAGCUUAAAUAAUUUUAAAGGACGAGAAGACCCUAUAGAACUUUAUAAUUUUAAGUUAAUUUUUAAAUUAUAGAAUUAUUAUUUUUAUUUAAUUUAUAUUAUUUUAUUGGGGUGAUAAAAAGAUUAAUUUAACUCUUUUAUAAUUUUUUUCAUUAAUUAAUGAUUUAUAAAUAGAUCCUGUAUUAUGGAUUAUUAAAUUAAGUUACCUUAGGGAUAACAGCGUAAUUUUUUUUUAGAGUUCAUAUUAACAAAAUAGAUUAC
rnacentral:rRNA from 1 species